GACAGAGGGUGCAAACGUUGUUCGGAAUUACUGGGCGUAAAGCGAGUGUAGGCGGUUUGGUAAGUCGGAUGUGAAAGCCCCGGGCUCAACCCGGGAAGUGCACUCGAUACUGCCAAGCUAGAGUAUCGGAGAGGUUGGUGGAAUUCUCGGUGUAGAGGUGAAAUUCGUAGAUAUCGAGAGGAACACCGGUGGCGAAGGCGGCCAACUGGACGAAUACUGACGCUGAGACUCGAAAGCGUGGGGAGCAAACGGG
rnacentral:rRNA from 1 species